rnacentral:rRNA from 1 species
UACAUGGGGUGCAAACGUUGCUCGGAAUUAUUGGGCGUAAAGCGCACGUAGGCGGUUCGUUAAGUCGGAUGUGAAAGCCCUCGGCUCAACUGAGGAAGUGCACCCGAAACUGGCGAGCUUGAGUACGAAAGAGGAUCGCGGAAUUCCCGGUGUAGAGGUGAAAUUCGUAGAUAUCGGGAGGAACACCGGUGGCGAAGGCGGCAUCCUGGACCGGUAUUGACGCUGAGGCGCGAAAGCCAGGGGAGCAAACGGG